AGAGUUUGAUCCUGGCUCAGGAUAAACGCUGGCGGCGCACAUAAGACAUGCAAGUCGAACGGACUUAACUCAUUCUUUUAGUUUGAGAGCGGUUAGUGGCGGACUGGUGAGUAACACGUAAGCAACCUGCCUAUUAGAGGGGAAUAACAGUGAGAAAUCAUUGCUAAUACCGCAUAUGCUGACAGUAUCACAUGAUACAGUCAGGAAAGGAGCAAUCCGCUAAUAGAUGGGCUUGCGUCUGAUUAGUUAGUUGGUGGGGUAACGGCCUACCAAGACUACGAUCAGUAGCCGGACUGAGAGGUUGAACGGCCACAUUGGGACUGAGAUACGGCCCAGACUCCUACGGGAGGCAGCAGUCGGGAAUAUUGCGCAAUGGAGGAAACUCUGACGCAGUGACGCCGCGUAUAGGAAGAAGGUUUUCGGAUUGUAAACUAUUGUCGUUAGGGAAGAUAAAAGACUGUACCUAAGGAGGAAGCCCCGGCUAACUAUGUGCCAGCAGCCGCGGUAAUACAUAGGGGGCAAGCGUUAUCCGGAAUUAUUGGGUGUAAAGGGUGCGUAGACGGAGAAACAAGUUGGUUGUGAAAUCCCUCGGCUCAACUGAGGAACUGCAACCAAAACUAUUUCCCUUGAGUGUCGGAGAGGAAAGUGGAAUUCCUAGUGUAGCGGUGAAAUGCGUAGAUAUUAGGAGGAACACCAGUGGCGAAGGCGACUUUCUGGACGAUAACUGACGUUGAGGCACGAAAGUGUGGGGAGCAAACAGGAUUAGAUACCCUGGUAGUCCACACUGUAAACGAUGGAUACUAGGUGUAGGGUGUAUUAAGCACUCUGUGCCGCCGCUAACGCAUUAAGUAUCCCACCUGGGGAGUACGACCGCAAGGUUGAAACUCAAAGGAAUUGACGGGGGCCCGCACAAGCAGUGGAGUAUGUGGUUUAAUUCGAAGCAACGCGAAGAACCUUACCAGGGCUUGACAUAUACAGGAAUAUGCUAGAGAUAGUAUAGCUCUUCGGAGUCUGUAUACAGGUGGUGCAUGGUUGUCGUCAGCUCGUGUCGUGAGAUGUUGGGUUAAGUCCCGCAACGAGCGCAACCCCUAUCGUUAGUUGCUAGCAGGUAAUGCUGAGAACUCUAGCGAGACUGCCGGUGAUAAAUCGGAGGAAGGUGGGGAUGACGUCAAAUCAUCAUGCCCUUUAUGUCCUGGGCUACACACGUACUACAAUGGCCGUAACAGAGGGAAGCAAAAUAGUGAUAUGGAGCAAAACCCUAAAAGCGGUCUCAGUUCGGAUUGAAGGCUGAAAUUCGCCUUCAUGAAGCUGGAAUUGCUAGUAAUGGCAGGUCAGCAUACUGCCGUGAAUACGUUCCCGGGCCUUGUACACACCGCCCGUCACACCAUGAGAGUUGGAAAUACCCGAAGCCUGUGAGCUAACUGUAAAGAGGCAGCAGUCGAAGGUAGAGCCAAUGAUUGGGGUGAAGUCGUAACAAGGUAACCAA
rnacentral:rRNA from 2 species